AAAUAUUUUUGAAAGCCACUUUUCUAAAUGGCAUUUGUUCCAGAGCAUUUUCUUUAUUUCUUGCAGUAAUGUUUAUAUCCUCUUUUGGAAGGGCUCAGAUACUUCAAUACCAAAACUUACAUAUCUAUCACUUCAGUACAGCCAUCUCUGAGGCGCAAUGCAGAAACUACCACAGGAGCAAAAAUAUUCACUAAUGGAUUAAAUAGCAACUCCUUUUUUAUUGCUUCUUCCUUAAUAACAUAUUAGUUAUUUAGAUGAUUGUAUACUGAGAAACACUUGCAGCAUUAUUUUUUAGUAAACCAAAAUCUGUAAAAGUAGCUGGUCUCAUCUCACUAUAAAUGCUAUUUGUCAAAUUAGUCAUCUUUCCAUAAAUCCCUGAAUGUCCAACUUAUAAAGUGAUCACUGUACACUUGAAUAGCUGUGAUUUUCUAAGAAAUAGAGGAACUGGUGAAUGUAGGGGAGAAGAAACUAUUUUCCCAAGCCGUGCACAUUCUUAAUAUGCAUAUAUAAUUUUGGGUCCUGCUGCUUGCUUCUUUUUGUUUUAAACAAGUCUUUGUUCCUGUUUCUGACACUGAAACUAUGUCAGAUGCAAGGAGGAGGACCAAGCUGAGGAAUUCAGAUACCAUCAUCUCUUGGGGACACUUAGUGACUCAGAGAAAUACAGUAAAAAUGGUACUACACUUCCUGCUAGCUCUCCUUUAACCCCAUUAGAAAAAAAAUUGAAGUGUUUAAAACCGGGCCAAAGAGACAAACAAGGAAAGCAGAAAGGAGCUUGAUUAUCUUGUUCUUACUGUCUUUAACAGUAAAUAUAUUGAAUGAAUUUUAUUGAAAUGUAAUUUAUUGAUGUAUUGAAUCAAUUUGCUGUCAACCUUUCUCUCAGUGAAUAAUACAAAGCUGCGCAGAAUUCAGGUAUAUUGUAAAAUCAAAGAAAAAGCAUCAGCUGAAAUACAACCACAUUUUUGCCUUAAACACAUACGGUUGACACUAUUAAACAUAAUGCAUCACUGAGUCAUACAGAAUGGCAAAACACAUUUAUUUUUCUCUAUAUUUUAUAUUUGUUUAUAUUAGCUUUUGACAGCAUUUUUGCUGCUUCUCAUAUAAAGUCUGUCCCCCCUGUUGCUUUGUGGAUCUUUCAGACAGCACAAAAGAUCUUAAGGACAUGGUUCUGAGUCACACUCCAGCUUGAAAUAUCUUAAUUUUCUUUUUAAAGAUUUGAGAUUUCAAUAACUCUGAUACUUUAUGUAAAAAAUAGUAACUUUAUAUGCGCAUACACUACUAGAAUUAUACAUUGUGCCUGGCUUUUCCUUAUUCUCAUUCUACUAAAUCAAUUUACAUAUUCAGAGCCUAAUAUAAACACGUGUUUAUUCACCUGGAAUGCUCACCUGUGAGAUCAGUCAAUAUUGCUGUUUCUUUCUCCCACUGUAGGAAAAUAAGGGUCAAGAAAUAUUUUAUUCAAGCCUACAACAGAUUUAAUUAAAUUCUCAGACUUAGGAAAAUUCUCUGGAUUUUAGGCCUACAAGUGUGUUACAAUACUGAACUUCUUACAGAGCCCAUUAAUUUUUUUCCUCAUUUAAAUGCCCUGGACAUUUUAGACCUUCUUCCAUUCCCCCUUCCCAACAAUGACCUGACCAGGAUGUAGCCUACUACAGAGACUGGAUUUAUUUUAAAUGCCAAUUCCCAUCAGGAAUCCUUUUAACUACAGAGAAGCAACCAAAUACCAAUUAAACUGACCUACCUGUUACCUGGAAAAAAAGUAGAAUUUGAAGUUCAGUUCUUGUAGUAAUUACCUGGAUCUAACAGGCAGGACUUGGACUAAAUCUUGCCUGGGGCAGGCUUUUCUGACACUAAUUAGCCCAAACGAAAAGAAAACAACCAACAUAAAUCCCCCCAAAACUAAUAUGUGUGUGAUCAGGUAACAGAAGCUGAAACUAGAGGGGAAAGAAAAGAGUUCUCAGGAUUUUUCUGUCUCAAGCAGACUAAUUUUACCAUGUCCCCCUGCAUACAGCAACAGUGCUCUGUGCCACAGAUUGGUGGUGACGCUCUUAUCAACCUUGAAAUUUUAAUCUAAUUCUUUUUCCUGUAUAGAAAUUCACUCACUUCACAGAAGUAAGGAUCUGUUUACAGGAAUCUAACAAAGAGAGAAAAAAUCCCCUUCAAAAUAUUAAUAUCAGAUGGAAAAACAGGAAGAAGCUUCGUACAGUUUUAAGUUUAUGAGUAUGCAACACUGAGGAGAAAGGAGCGUGGAUCUCUAACUGAUGCCUGAAGGUGUUGCAAUGAUUCAGUGGUGUGGGGAUUGGCUUCUGCUGGAAACAACUGCAGCUUCUAUGGGAAUGAUUAGGCCAACAAUUUGUGGAACCAUAGUUUCUGCCCUGAAACUGGGGACUCAGCAGGCUUGUACUGAGAAGCUUUAGGGUUCCAUGAAGAAAACAGAAGUGUCUGUUCUAAGUCAUGUAAACUACCCAAAAGCAUCCUGCCAAACAUGAAAAAAAUAAAGCUGCUGUUCUUGGUGUUUUCAGUCACAAUAUUAGCCAUGGGAAUUCAGCUUGUCAGAAAUUCAGGUUUUGCUGUUAUUAUAGAAUGAAAAGAUGGCAUUUUGCUGCUGUGGAAUGGUAAUAAUAUGCACAAUGGAAUCUCAAGUCCUACUUCUUGGACCUCUUCAGUACAAACACCUAAACCAAAUUGUGUUCAUCAUUCAAAAGUAUGAGAGAAGAAGACAAAAAUCAGAACAAUCAGCCAGCUUUGCAGCCAACAAAAUUCAGAGGUACUUGUAUAGCUGGGAAACCCUGCCUCUACUAAAUUCCAUUAGAAUUCACUGACAUCCUACAAGUGUAAGGCUGCCAUAUCAUCAGGUUUUUUUAGCAGAAAGUGUUAUAUGUGAAUUUUGUUUGGGCACUUGUGUGAGAUACCAGUGCUUAAGAGCAGUGUAGGUGUGUGACUUACCAGUGAAGGCUGCAAAAAUUGCAUUUCAGGAAUGAAAGUCCAGAUACAUGUGUGUAUGUGUUUAUGUUAAAAUGGAGGAAACAGGAGUAUUACAAUGAAAUAAUGCAAAGUACAUCACACAUCCAUGGGUUGUUUUAUUCAACUGCUUUCUCUGCAAUUUAUCUUCAUUCUUCUGGAAGCUGGUUCUUAAAGGUUUAAAAACUGAUUACUCAAAUAAGUUUAUGCAAAUGACCAAUCCAUUUAAAUUGCAGAUGAGGACCAUUUAUUUCCCUGUAGUGAAUACAAGAAAUAUAAUAAAAAUAAAUCAAAAGUCAGAAGUUUUAGGCAAUAUCACUGCUAAAGAUUAUUCUCCAAUUUUGGACUGCAAUCCUGAUGCAAUUGUUCAAAAAAUCCUCAUUCACACAACUAUAGGACUUCCUAAUAUAAGAGAAUAUGCCAGGUAAGAUGUAACAGCCUCAUUUUCUGUAGUAUAAAUGACUCCAUUAGUAACAAUACUCUAAAUAAAUCUAUCCAUGCCACUUAGUCUAAGUAUACAACAACUUAGAGCUAGGUUAAAAAGUGCUGGGAAAAAUACUUGCCAGUAUUGCCAACAGUCCAGGAAUCUUUCUAUGUAAUUAUGUGCCAGCCAGUUUUCACACUCAAUUCAAAUCGCUUUGUUUCUGAAAAAUGCUGCUGGACAAAAUAUAUUUGGUCAGUGAAGAAACUAGGGAUAUUAUUGUGUGGAAAUGGCUAGAUCAGCCUAUCUAGAAUAAAAUUAAUGUGAAAUUCAAACCAACAGGGAGCAUAUCUAAUCUCUUAAAAAUUUUUUUUAAGCUAUUGCGAAGUUAUGUCUUGGCACUUCUCUGUUUCAGCCAGAACUGAAAUCGGAAAUGCCAAAAUAUAGUUCUUGAACUACAGCUGACCUGAAUGAAACAAGGAAGCACUACAAAGUCACAAGACAGACUGUUUUUAGGAAAUUGCCAUCUAAUUUCCCAGCUGGAGAAGUUUGGAUGAGAUCAGGUAAACUCUGGAAACUGCUAAACUUCUGGAUGUGUAUCUGAACUGAACUACCAAUCCUUUGUGACUCAUCUGUUACUGAAGUCCACAUUUUGUGGAUGACUAUAAAUAAAAUAGUUUUACUUUGAGAAAGAAAGGAGGAAACACAACAUACUACAGAAAUCAGAGGUUUGCCUGCAUUAUCCUCAAAUUAGAACUGUACUGUACAUUCAAUUGUACUGAUCAUAGUGAUUUAAAUAAAGGGUACGUCCCUGAAGUCAUUGGUGCUAAACUGGUUUAUCUGGGAAAAUAUUUCUGCCAUAUCUGUUCAUGACACGCAGAAGUAAACUGCAGAUAUAGUGGGCCUUAUUAAUCCAUGAUAUAAACUUCCACUGCUUCAAUGCUAUUUCAUUAGGAAUAAAGUUGAUGAACUAA